rnacentral:rRNA from 1 species
UGGGGAAUUUGAUCGAAUGGCGAAAGGCCUGAAUCCAGCCAAGCUCGCCGCGUGGUGAUGAAGCAAGCCUUCGGGUUGUAAGCCCUUUUGUUGGGAAAGAAAUCCAGCCGGCUAAUACCUGGUUGGGAUGACGGUACCCAAAGAAUAAGCACCGGCUAACUUCGUGCCAGCAGCCGCGGUAAUACGAAGGGUGCAAGCGUUACUCGGAAUUACUGGGCGUAAAGCGUGCGUAGGUGGUCGUUUAAGUCCGUUGUGAAAGCCCUGGGCUCAACCUGGGAACUGCAGUGGAUACUGGGCGACUAGAGUGUGGUAGAGGGUAGCGGAAUUCCUGGUGUAGCAGUGAAAUGCGUAGAGAUCAGGAGGAACAUCCAUGGCGAAGGCAGCUACCUGGACCAACACUGACACUGAGGCACGAAAGCGUGGGGAGCAAACAGGAUUAGAUACCCUGGUAGUCCACGCCCUAAACGAUGCGAACUGGAUGUUGGGUGCAAUUUUGGCACGCAGUAUCGAAGCUAACGCGUUAAGUUCGCCGCCUGGGGAGUACGGUCGCAAGACUGAAACUCAAAGGAAUUGAC